UUUUCUAUCCUAAAUACUAAUGUGGAUAAAAUGGCAAAUAUUUUGAGAUGAUAUUUGGUUAUGCAAAUGAUGUUGUCUUGCCAUAAAUGAUUUAUUUUAUGUGUAUGUAUGGAGCCUAUCUGUUUGGUUGGAACAUAAGAAUCGAAUUCGGGUCCGAGUGAGGGUGGUGUCCCUACUCGGAUUAGUGUACACAGGUGACCGUUGGAAGGUGGCCACCUUCCAUAGCUAUAUCAUUGUCAUUAUCUUGAUUGAUUGCAGAAAUCAUAACAAACCAAUAGUUUUGUUGCAAAAUUGGAACAAAUCAAUAGAUCAGUAUUUACAUGUAGUAGAAUAGGCUUUAUCUUCAUUUUCUGAUAAACUGAUCUUUUAGAUCACUAUGGUUGUUUGUUACUCUCCAGGCUUAAAUGCACUAGACAAACUUCCUUUGUGCAGAUGUUUAUAUUUGUAUAGACAUUGUGGUGAUAUCAUUUAUUCAAUUAUCUUCAUGGACAGAUAUAGAUUAACAUGCAAGAGCUUUUUCCUCUCAAUAAUCCACCAAAAAUUCUCAACUCAUCUUCAGUCUAUAAUGCCAAGACCACUCAGUGCCCCUUGUAUUAUAUAGUAGCUCUGCUGUUGUUUCUAAAUUCGUUAGUUAGAAAUUAGAAUACAAUCAAGUUGAUAGUAUAUACUAGCUCUAAAAAAAUAUCUACUAAUUUUCCUAUUAUUAGUUAAAUUGCUCUUAUUUUGUAGCAAAUGUAAAAUCUCAAGCAUAGUUGUUUUACUUUAUGUGAUUAUUUCUUUUUAAGCUAAAUAUUGAUUUUGUAAAUCGAAUAUGAACAGCUUAUAUGGAUUAUAUUGUUUUGAAAUGGAAUCUCAUCACAGUAUUGUUUCAAGAGCAUUGAUAACGUUAUUAUGUAUAAACAGUAUUGUGUCAAAAAUUAUACUCCCUCAGUCUCACUCUAAGUGACACAUUUUUCUUUUUGGAAUGUCCCACUUUAAAUGAAACAAUUCUAAAAAUCGAAGCAUCACUCUCUUUACUUUUUUUCCUCUGUCUUACUUUAUUCUCUCCAUUUAACUCAUAAAAUAACCGUACAUAAAAUCUCGGUUCAAAAAAGAAAUGCGCCACUUAGAGUUGUUGGAGUCUUCAUGGUUUCUCAAGCAAUUCGUGGAAUAUUGCAAACAUGCUUACUUCUGAUACAUCUCAGUUAGGAUUGUUCCCAAUUCUAGUUAUGACACAGCAGACUAUUUGGCCUUUUUCAGCCAUGUUAUGAAUGCAAUUGGUGGGAACAUUGCUGGUCCUGGUCUGUGGUCUUUUGAAGUUUAAGACACCCUGUGUCCCAUUAUUAGAGAGUUUUGGGUAUGUUGGCCCACAAUUUUUUUGUUUGAAUGAUAGUAAUAUCCAGCUCUUUGAUUUAGUUAACAAAUAAUAUUGAACAUCUGGAUUUGAUCUUGUCAAAGAUAGAGAUACAGGAAAUUCCAAAGGAUUCUACCCACCAGUGUCUAGAGCUUUUAAAGUGGAAUUCUGUUAUGGACUCAUUUUAUGGAAAUUGCCAGCUUUGGGUGGUUGGUCUUCUUGUUA